rnacentral:lncRNA from 1 species
UAAUUGAAAGCUUCUCUUGUUUUUGUGUAUCCAUGAUGUUUAAAAGGUUAAAAUAAAUCAAAAUUGAAAUCGAAAAUCGUCUUAAUUAAAUGGAUAAAAUCGCCUGCCACCCUAGGUAAGAUGAAAAGAUAGUUAAGAGCAGAUAGUUAUGCUAUUAAAUAGUUAAAAUAAAAACAUAGUUAUGCCAAUCAUUAAAGUUAAACUGGAAAACCGUAUCUUUCUACAACAAAACAAAAACAUUUGUUCAUUUAAAUUUUUCAUAGUAAGCUUAAACCACUUGUAAAUCGAUUUAAAUCAGGCUUUCUCUCAUUUAUAGACUAUGAUUGAUAUUUAAUGUUGCAGACGUGGCGAACAAAAAAUCAUAAUUUAAAAUAAUUCAAAAAAUUAGAUUUUUUUUCUAAAUUAGUUCUGCUUCUCGUCACUCCUGCCUUCGGCCGGAGGUUAAUGAUAAAGAUAACUUUGAUAAAGAACAUGAAUAAAAAUUACUAUUUUAUUAAA